rnacentral:rRNA from 1 species
UUGCCUUAGUAACGGCGAGUGAAGCGGCAAUAGCUCAAAUUUGAAAUCUGGCUCUUUUAGAGUCCGAGUUGUAAUUUGUAGAAGAUGCUUCGGCUUACGUACCGGUCUAAGUUCCUUGGAACAGGACGUCACAGAGGGUGAGAAUCCCGUUUGUGGCCGGUACUUCCGCUAUGUGAAGCUCCUUCGACGAGUCGAGUUGUUUGGGAAUGCAGCUCUAAAUGGGAGGUAAAUUUCUUCUAAAGCUAAAUAUUGGCCAGAGACCGAUAGCGCACAAGUAGAGUGAUCGAAAGAUGAAAAGCACUUUGGAAAGAGAGUUAAAAAGUACGUGAAAUUGUUGAAAGGGAAGCGCUUGCGACCAGACUUGUCUUUAGUUGCUCCGCCGGUCCUUCGACCGGUGUAUUCUUCUAUUGUCAGGCCAGCAUCAGUUUGGGUGGUUGGAUAAAGGCAUUGGGAAUGUGACUCUCUUCGGGGAGUGUUAUAGCCCUUUGUGCAAUACAGCCUAUCUAGACUGAGGACCGCGCUUCGGCUAGGAUGCUGGCGUAAUGGUCGUAAGCGGCCCGUCUUGAAACACGGACCAAGGAGUCUAACAUCUAUGCGAGUGUUUGGGUGUCAAACCCGUGCGCGAAAUGAAAGUGAACGGAGGUGGGAACCUUUGGGUGCACCAUCGACCGAUCCUGAUGUCUUCGGAUGGAUUUGAGUAAGAGCAUAGCUGUUGGGACCCGAAAGAUGGUGAACUAUGCCUGAAUAGGGUGAAGCCAGAGGAAACUCUGGUGGAGGCUCGCAGCGGUUCUGACGUGCAAAUCGAUCGUCAAAUUUGGGUAUAGGGGCGAAAGACUAAUCGAACCAUUAAAAAAAAUAACUUAGUUACUAGGUGGUUAAGAGGCGGCUAAAAGUGCCCGUCUAGUCCCUUCAUUCGGGGCAACACCGUCAAAUUGCGGGGACUUCCUUAGAGCUUGAACUACCGCGACUACAUUGAAAAAUGUGGUGCAGCACCGGGUUAAUUACCUAGGGGAUGGUAAAAAUGUUCAAGAUUGGUUAAUCCGCAGCCAAGUCCUAAGUCAAUUUAUGUAUUGAUAUGGAUGCAGUUCACAGACUAGAUGUCGGUGGGUAUAAUUAUUUAGUAAUUAUGCUUAAGGUAUAGUCGGUUCCCUAUGGAAACAUAGGCAGUAAAUCAAAGCCUUUAGGCAGGAUGACCCUCUAUAUAUUUUUAAGAGGUGUGCCUAAUAGCCCGAAAUUUACUGGGGUGUCCUACAAUUUU